GGUCCCGUGGUGUAGUGGUUAGCACUCAGGACUUCUGAAUCCUGCGACGGGAGUUCAAAUCUCCCCGGGACCU
rfam:Enterobius vermicularis genome assembly, scaffold: EVEC_scaffold0000439